CGGCCCGCACAAGCAGCGGAGCGUGUGGUUUAAUUCGAUGCUACACGAAGAACUUACCAGGGUUUGACAUACAAGUAGUAGGAAAGGAAACUGGACCGACCUUCGGGGAGCUUGUACAGGUGCUGCAUGGCUGUCGUCAGCUCGUGUCGUGAGAUGUUCGGUUAAGUCCGCUAACGAGCGCAACCCUCGUCGUAUGUUAUAUGUGUCAUACGAGACUGCCGGUAAAAGCCGGAGGAAGGUGAGGAUGAUGUCAAGUCAGCAUGACCUUUAUAUCCAGGGCUACACACACGCUACAAUGGUCUGUACAAUGGGUAGCCAAGCCGCGAGGCGGAGCCAAUCCUGAAAGCAGGCCUCAGUUCAGAUUGCAGUCUGCAACUCGACUGCAUGAAGCCGGAGUUGCUAGUAACCGCAGGUCAGCAAUACUGCGGUGAAUACGUUCCCGGGUCUU
rnacentral:rRNA from 1 species